GAUGAAGAAUGUAGCGAAAUGCGAUACGUAAUGUGAAUUGCAGAAUUCAGUGAAUCAUCGAAUCUUUGAACGCAUAUUGCGCUCUCUGGUAUUCCGGAGAGCAUGCUUGUUUGAGUAUCAGUAAACACCUCAACUUCCAUAUCUUUUUUGAAAUGGGAGUUGGACUUGAGUGAUCCCAACGCUUUUCCUCACCGAAAAGUGGCGGGUUACUUGAAAUGCAGGUGCAGCUGGACUUUUCUCUGAGCUAUAAGCAUAUCUAUUUAGUAUGCCUAAAAAACAGAUUAUUACCUUUGCUGCAGCUAACAUAAAGGAGAUUAGUUCUUGUGCUGACUGAUGCAGGAUUCACAAAGACAGGCUUCGGCCGACUUUGUAAACUCGAUCUCAAAUCAAGUAAGACUACCCGCUGAACUUAAGCAUAUCAAUAAGCGGAGGA
rnacentral:misc_RNA from 1 species